AACAGGUGAAGUGGGUACUUUAUUAAUAGCAGGAUAUAAGAGUUGUAAAUCUCCUACUCUUACUUUCCUAAUAUCAUCACGAUAGAAAAGAUUGUACCCAAGCCAUUUGUGGAACAUCCUAAGAGUGGGGUGUUCCAUGUCACUGGUUCGGGCUUGACUAUAAAAAUUAUCUCUAGAUAUCUCUCUCUAGAACUGAUGUCUCUCAAAA
rnacentral:lncRNA from 1 species